UUGUUGUUGUUGUUGUUGUUGUUGUUGUUGUUGUUGUUGUUGUUGUUGUUGUUGUUCUUCUUCUUCUUCUUCUUCUUCUUGUUCUUGUUGUCGUUGUCCUCUUCGUUGUCGUCUUCGUUGUUUUUUCUGUUGUUGUUAUCGUUGAUGUUAUUGUUAUCGUUGUUGUCAUUGUUGUUGUUGUUGUCGUGGUCGUCGUCGUCAUUGUGGUUGUUGUUGUCGUUAUUUUAGUUGUUGUUGUUGUCGUUAUUUUAN
rnacentral:lncRNA from 1 species